rnacentral:rRNA from 1 species
UAAGGAAUAUUGCGCAAUGGGCGAAAGCCUGACGCAGCGACGCCGCGUGGGGGAUGAAGGUCUUCGGAUUGUAAACCCCUUUCGGGAGGGAAGAUGGAAUGGGGUAACCCAUUCGGACGGUACCUCCAGAAGCAGCCACGGCUAACUUCGUGCCAGCAGCCGCGGUAAUACGAAGGUGGCAAGCGUUAUUCGGAUUUACUGGGCGUACAGGGAGCGUAGGCGGUUUGGUAAGCCCUCUGUGAAAUCUUCAGGCUUAACCUGGAAAAGUCGGAGGGGACUGCUGGGCUAGAGGACGGGAGAGGAGCGCGGAAUUCCCGGUGUAGCGGUGAAAUGCGUAGAGAUCGGGAGGAAGGCCGGUGGCGAAGGCGGCGCUCUGGAACGUUUCUGACGCUGAGGCUCGAAAGCGUGGGGAGCAAACAGGAUUAGAUACCCUGGUAGUCCACGCCUUAAACUAUGAAUACUAAGUGUCGGCGGGUUACCGCCGGUGCCGCAGCUAACGCAUUAAGUAUUCCGCCUGGGAAGUACGGCCGCAAGGUUG